AGGCAAUGGCUCACCAAGGCUACGAUGGGUAGGGGUUCUUAGUGGAAGAUCCCCCACACUGGCACUGAGAUACGGGCCAGACUCCUACGGGAGGCAGCAGUAGGGAAUAUUGGUCAAUGGGCGCAAGCCUGAACCAGCCAUGCCGCGUGCAGGAUGAAAGCUCUCUGAGUUGUAAACUGCUUUUGUACAGGAGCAAAACAAUUCCUGCGGGAAUUCUUGAGAGUACUGUAAGAAUAAGCACCGGCUAAUUCCGUGCCAGCAGCCGCGGUAAUACGGAAGGUGCAAGCGUUAUCCGGUUUUAUUGGGUUUAAAGGGUGCGUAGGCGGCUUAUUAAGUCAGUUGUGAAAUCCUAGUGCUUAACGCUAGAACUGCAAUUGAUACUAUUAGGCUUGAGUUAAGAAUAGGUAAGUAGAAUUUAUGGUGUAGUAGUGAAAUGCUUAGAUAUCAUAAGGAAUACCAAUAGCGUAGGCAGCUUACUGGUCUUUAACUGACGCUGAGGCACGAAAGCGUGGGGAGCAAACAGGAUUAGAUACCCUGGUAGUCCACGCUGUAAACGAUGAUCACUCGAUAUACAUAAACUUUAUGUGUGUCUAAGCGAAAGCGUUAAGUGAUCCACCUGGGGAGUAUACCCGCAAGGGUGAAACUCAAAGGAAUUGACGGGGGUCCGCACAAGCGGUGGAGUAUGUGGUUUAAUUCGAUAAUACGCGAGGAACCUUACCUGGGCUAGAAUGUAUUUUGCUACUUUGAGAAAUUAAAGGUUCCUUCGGGACAAAAUACAAGGUGCUGCAUGGCUGUCGUCAGCUCGUGCCGUGAGGUGUUGGGUUAAGUCCUAUAACGAGCGAAACCCUUUUACUUAAUUGCCAGCACAUAAUGGUGGGAACUUUAAGUAGACUGCCCGUGUAAGCGGGAGGAAGGAGAGGAUGAGGUCAAGUCAUCAUGGCCUUUAUGCCCAGGGCUACACACGUACUACAAUGGCAUGUACAAAAGGAAGCUACUUGGUAACAAGAUGCAAAUCUUAAAAGCAUGUCUCAGUUCGGAUUGAGGUCUGCAAUUCGACCUCAUGAAGUUGGAAUCGCUAGUAAUCGCGAUCAGCAAUGACGCGG
rnacentral:rRNA from 1 species